UGGCGGCAGUAGCGCGGUGGUCCCACCUGACCCCAUACCGAACUCAGAAGUGAAACGCCGUAGCGCCGAUGGUAGUGUGGGGUCUCCCCAUGCGAGAGUAGGGAACUGCCAGGCA
rnacentral:rRNA from 1 species